rnacentral:miRNA from 1 species
UGAGGCAGGAGAAUUGCUUGAACCCAGGAGGUGGAGGCUGCAGUGAGCCGAGAUCGUGCCACUGCCCUCCAGCCUGGGUGACAGAGCGAGAC